rnacentral:rRNA from 1 species
ACUGACGCUCAGGUGCGAAAGCGUGGGGAGCAAACAGGAUUAGAUACCCUGGUAGUCCACGCCGUAAACGAUGUCUAUUUGGAGUUUGUGCCCUUCAGCCCUUUCUUCCUGAGCUUACCCCUUUAAUCAACCGCCUGGGGAAUACGGCCCCCAGGUUUAAACUUCAAUGAAUUUACCGGGGCCCCCCCCAACCGUUGAACCUUUUGUUUAAUUCCAUACCACCCCAAAAACCUUACCUGGUC